rnacentral:rRNA from 1 species
GCGGUGGGAAGAGUGGGGGGUGUGGGGUUGCACGGAACUCGGGGGCGUCAAGGGCGGGUAGGCGGCCGGGCAAGGUCGCGGUGAAGGCCCUGGGAUCAACCCCGGGUCGGCCGGGGCAACUACUCGGCUCGAGCACGGUAGGGGCGUGUGGAAUGCCGGGUGUAGCGGGGGAAUGCGUAGAGAUCCGGAAGAACACCGGUGGCGAAGGCGGCCCGCUGGGCAGGAAGAGGGAGCAAUCUCUCGGCUGACGCUGAUGCGCGACAGCGUGGGGAGCAAACAGGAUUAGAUACCCUAGUAGUC